rfam:Dichomitus squalens LYAD-421 SS1 unplaced genomic scaffold DICSQscaffold_1, whole genome shotgun sequence.
GGCGAGAUGGCCGAGCGGUCUAAGGCGCCAGACUAAGGUAGUUACUAAACCUACGUAAUCUGGUCCUCACGGGCGUGGGUUCGAAUCCCACUCUCGUCA